UGCAAUUUAGAAAUAAGCAACACACUUUAGUCCUGGGUAUGUAAAAGAAAAAUACGUAUUUUUCCAGUUUUGAUUUUACUGAGAUGCCCAGAAUUCAAGAAAAUAAACACCCCAAAUCCGUGAGCGGAGGGGGAAGGAGGGAGGAAGGAGAGAAGAGGAGGGGGAGAGAAGAGAGAUUAGAAGCACUUUUCACCUCUUGGUCCCGUCAGUGCGCUCAACGCCGAGAACCGUGCUUCAAAUCCCGUGUUAUCGUUAGGCCCGAUUCAAAGGAAAUCAAAUAGUCUACUGAGAAAACAGUGGAAAAAGUAAGGUCCUAAAGAAGUAAGUGCUGCAUGUUGAAACGUAUGCAUGUCACACCCCAUUUGUCUUUCAUACUGAAGAAUAAAGCAGCCUGUCCCGCAGCAGUUAUUAUACACCAUAUUCUUUAUUUUAAAAAUGCAAGAAAUUUGGCACAAAGAACAAAAAAUCAACUGAUGAAAAGCAUUUAUGUCAUGGUUUAAAUUAAGACCUUUGUAAUGCAAGAAUUACAUCAGCAGUGGGCUUAGCUUAAUAAAAAUAAGACAGUGUUUUUAAAAACCAUGAACGAACAAAUCUUCUCUGCGUUCUGAAAGAGAGAAAAGCAGAAAGAGAUAAACAGAUAACUUAAUCUGAAAUCAGAGCAAAUCGCUGCCUUCAGGAGUUGCUGAACUUUUUAUUCCAGUGACAGCUCCAUGUCAAAGAAGGAAAGCAAGAGGCUCUCUUACACCCACACGUGGAUUUUAAAUAUUUACAGGGAGUAUUGGGUAACAUGCAGUUUCUUCAACAUUCUCACUGCUUGAACUUCUGGUUAAGAUUAAUUGAAUUUUUAGAUUUUCCUUUCUCUUUAUGUGUUUUUGUUUUCAGGUUAACGUAAGGACUAAAAGUUCAAAUGGGAUGCUUGAUUGGAUUUUAAAAAUGUUUAUCGGUGUAUUAUUUUCGUAGAGUGAAAGUGAAGGAUUUAGAACAAAAAAUGUUUUGAAUGAGAAGAAACAAUGAAUGUGAGCCAUUUGGGUCUGGUAGUAAUGAAGUAGUAAUGAUUUGAUUAACAUUAAAUGUACGGGUGGAGGUAGCAAAAGAGAAGCAUGCUCUCUUCUCUUUGAUAUCAGUUGUUUGAUAUAAGCAUUUGUCAUCUAUUCCUCAUGCACAUUUUUAUCUUUAUAUGGGUCUGCCGAAUGUUUUAUGAGAAUAUAAGUGGCAGUUAUCUGAAGGAAAAGAAACAGGCUUAAGUGAGACAAAAUAGCUUAUAUUUCUAGUGGAAAAGAGUAUGGAGUUGGAAGGCUAGAGUGAAAACUUUCUUCUGUAGCAUGGUGAGUACAAAUAUAUACAGUGUUAAUAUCUCUUUACUGCAUUUAUGUGACAGAAAAGUGGUUGGAUGGAGACUGUUUUGUUAUUGAUGAUGAGUGCAGCUGUUUUAAUCACCGAACAACAUAUUUGGGAAGGAGAAUCAAUGUAUAUCUGUCGAAAUAUAUAUGUAUUAUUUACUACGCAUAAAAAUACAUAGAUAGAAAAGAGAAGUUGAUUUUAAUGGUAUCAGAUUUCCAGGAAAAAAAAAUGCAAUACUUGAUUACUUUUAAAAUAUGAACUAAUUAUGAAUAAAUCUUCUACAUGUUGCAAAAUGAAGUUAAAUAUUUAAGUAUGUAAAUAUAUGAGCUGGGUGUGCAUAUCAUAGAAUGGACACCAGUACUCAUGUUUCUAAGUCCUUUGGUUUUAAACAGUAUGAUCAAACUGCCGCCAAUAUCUGAGAUGAUGAUUUAUGUUCCAUCUUGCUAAUCUGAAGAUUCUCCAAAUUAGUUAUGUGGAAGAUCUUAUUUCUGAUAGAGAUAAAACGAGCCAUCCAAAUCCUGGAAGAUCCUUAAUCCAAACAAGAAUUUACUGAUUGAGAUUUCCAGGAUGACAGCACGUUCACCGUCACUGCUCCUUCUCACAGCGUGUGAUAAAGUGAACCUUGUCCUCUGUCUCCACGCAUUCCCCGCAACGAAAGGAUGUGCAGCAGAGGUUUUCUAAAAAAAAAAAAAUAAUAAAAUAAAAUAAAAUAAAUAACAAUGUCACUGCCUUAAAAAAUAAUUAUUAUCUUUCACUUUCAAGGGACUUCUGGCAUCUGUUUCAGUUUUAUUUUAAACAAGUGCAGAAAGCAAUUGACUUUCAUUUUUUCACUUCCUUUGGGCUGUAGGGAUGAAAGGGUGAAAUGAAAGGAUUUGGAAAGAUAGGGCCCGGUCCUGUGCCCGGAGCAGGUCAGCAGCCACGGCUGUGUCAGUGGGAUCUGCUGCAAAGCAGUAGCUGCAGGGCUGGGGCUGAUGCUGAAAGAGCUCUGGUGUGCAUAAAGGAAGGGAGAGAAGGGGGCUGGAUGUGCUGCUCGCUUUAUUUGCACACUCACUGAAAAUGUUCCUUAUGAAUCGAAUGCCACCAUUCCUCAUAAUUGGUGUCUCUUCGAGAGGGCUCUGGAGGUUUGUUCACAGCCUGCCCUGUCCUUGACAAGCAGCAGACAACACACAGUGUUUACCAAGAAAAUCCCCUCUCUGUGUUUUCAAGGAAUUUAGGUGGAAGCUAAAAAAAAAACAAAACAAAACAAAAGAAAACCCAAAAAACAAAAACGAAACAGCACUAUUUCAAACUUUCUAAAUGAAGAUAAAUAAUUUUUUUAAAAAGAAUUUCUUCCAAAAAUUCUCUGCCUCCUUGAUUUCUGUGCCGUCCUCUGAGAUAUCUCAUGCCUCCACCAUAUAAAAUAUCCGCAGCCCUCGGAAAAUGAAGGGCGGGCAGUACCUACACUCCUGUGGGCAAAAAGGGAAAAAUGCACCAGACUUUCUUCAAAUGCAAUGCAAGAGAAACCCAGGGCACAGACAGCACACCACCAGCUGCUCAUCAACACUGCCUUUACCAAGAGCUGAGAGCCAACGUGGCCACUAUGUGCUGAAUGGCCAUGCUUGCACUCUUUGCUGUGACAGUGUGCUUCUUAAAAGCGCAAUGAACGAGCGGGUGGCCUGUCUUAUUGGAAUAACUGCUGCUUCUGUUUUGCCAGAGGAUUUGACAGAUGUCGCUAACAAAAAGAUAAUACUUCUUUCCACCCUGUCACUUGUGCGUGGGUCAGAGAAGGAAUCUGCUCUUCUGCCUGGCUGCGACUUCUGAGCUUAGAAAACACUUCCACUGAAAGAAAGGGCAUCGACAUGAAAAGCUCUCAUGCCAAGGGGCUUUUUUUUUUUGUGGGCAAGGUUCUGACAGCUGAGAUUGUGGGGCUGAUCCAGAGCGAGACGUUCCAGGCUGUCAUUUGCAAAGCAGGGAUUCCUCCCCAUGCGCUAGGACAAAGCAGCAAGCCUUCAGCAUGGUUAGCCUGGCACGGUUUCUGGAGAGCUGACUGCUCACCUGGUACUAAAUUUCUUCCUUCUGCUAACCGCUAAAUCGAGUUAGACGCAGACAAAAACCCAUUAGAGAUUUUCCUUACAUUAAUUUUCCUAAUAUUAAUUUUCCAUGUCGGCAAGAGUUCUCAUUACCGCAAGUAUGUUUUGCAACUGUGGGCUGCACGGAUAGAUCUGCAUCGCAACUGCUAUCUAUUAAGGUAUGAGCCACAUCAUGAAAUUAUUAGAGGAUGUCUGUGUUAAAAAAUGACUAUCUCCUGUUUAAAGCAGAUUUACAUUAAUAGGGAUCCUAAGCCCAAAGUGUUUUGGGAAAACAGUCCCUAAGAAGCUUGAUGUGGAGCUCAUGUUCACAGGGCCUGAUCUUUGCAAAUGUGUGCGCUCAUAAAUAGUUUUAUUUGUGACAGAAGCUUUGCAGAGUUUAACAGCUCGCUCCGUCGGAUGACACGCAUACGUGUCUGCAAAAUGGCCGCACAGGCAGCUGCACGAGCCUUAAAAGCUGCGCUUUGGUAUGAGACACAGGAAGAAUCUCACCAGCAAACGCUAUUUGAAAACGUCUACUUUUUUCUGCAAUAUGGUAAAAGGUGAUGAAGUUUUAGACUUGAAAGUUUUGAAGAUUAUUUGCUGCUAAUCCAUCCCUGUUACAAGCUAUAACAAGAGUUCUGCCCGUGCUAUAAGAAAGCACCAUAUGAAGUGCCUUGACUCAAAGCCUGGCAGCUGCCCACCUUGGGAACGAGGGACUGGCACCUACCUCACCCAGCUGGGCGGUUAAAUGAUGAUAAACAACAAUUAGCAAAACACAUUUGCAAUAGUUUUCCUGCUUGCUCAAGAGGGGAGAAUCAGUUAUAAAUACUUUUUCCUAAUGAUAACCUGAAUUUUAUUGCCUCAAAAGUUUAUGGGUAGAUGUGUGAUUUUUUUUUUAUUAUUUUUUUUUUACCAUAGGAAAAAUGAAAGUCCAGCUUUGCCUUCCUCAGCAUUCAAAGCUGAGCUCAAUGCACGGAUAAAUAUUUACACACAGAUGGUUUUUUGCCCUCCCAGCUCCACUGAUUUCAAUCUUCUCAUUUGUAAUUGUCUUGACACAUUCCUGCUUCCAUUUAUUUCAAUCAUCUCAGAUUGCAUCUCUUAUUUGGAAACUGGAGCGCUUAGGCUAAUUCAAAAGCUGUUUCUGAAAGAAAUAUUCCUUUAUACAGUAUCCCGCGACACCGCUUUUGUAACAGAUUGCUCGUUGGUGGUGUUGGGCUACUGUGACAGAGUACUACCACGUAACUCAGUCCUUCUGAAAUGUCUGCUUUAUGCUACAAAAAAAAAAAAAAAAAAAAAAAAAAAAACAACCAAACACCCAUCUAAUUAAGCCUCAUGAUCACCCUCAUUAGCCAAAUACGUGUUAGAUUCCCUGGGCUGCUUUCAGGGAUACUGAGACACAGAUGGGUUAAAUGAGUUGUUAAAAGCCACACAGUAGCCGCAUUUUUAUUAUAAGGGUUAGCUGGAAGGGUAGCUUCACUGAUUUAAAAUAUGAACAAAGGAAAGAGUAUUCAUAUGAAAAACAAAUGAAAAAACUUCACCCUCUGUGGACAAAUUUCUGCUGAAAAGGAUAUGCGCAGUGAUCAAAGCAAAGUUUAAAGAAUGAGCGUCUGGAAAAAAAAAAAAACUUUAAAAGAUGUUUUAGUUAUAAUAACGCAGUUAUCCAAAUGUCAGUGAAUUUGAUCAAAGCUGAUCUGCAGAGCUCAGGUUUAGCAUUAGGUGAGUCAUUUUCUUUUAUUAGUGAUGCUUUUUCAUUCAAAUGGGUAAAAAGGUGAGAGUUUGGAUAUGUUGAAGGUUUCAUUGGCUUACAGUAGGGACAGACAAAUGAGGCCCACCUAGUUUUACAAUCUGGCCCACAGCUACUUUCUUUUUAAUAAAAUGCAGCAUAUUGAAAGGGCAUGUCUCAACAUGUCUUGACCCAUCCAAACUGGAUCAAGAUGGAAAGCCCCAUAUUGGAACCAGUCCACUCCCAGGACAAGGCUUGUUGUCUUUGGGGAGCAGCAAGGGUCAAGGCACACAAAGAGAGCCCUGCUCCUCCACCCCUCACCUGCGGGUUAGGUCAGCGUCUCAACCAGCCUUUGUUGAUUGACAUAGGCUGUCCAGGUUGUGGAAAUGGGAGUACUGUCAAGUCUCCACAGAAUCAAGGAGUGCUUUAGGUUGGAAGGGACCUAGGGAGGACCUCUGGUCCAACCCCAGGGUCAGGCCGGUAGAAAACCCAUCUAGUUUUGGGGUGGGGACCUUCUCUCCACCUCUGCUCCAACCAUGCCUGUAUGAGCUCCUUCUCUGGGGCUCUCCAAAAGCAAGCAUAAAGCACUGGCCAAAAACCCAAUUUCUCCUCCUAUGGCCACUGACCAAUAUCUAUCGGUGCCAGAGGGGAGCAUUCCAGGGCACUUCAGCUGCUGUCUGGCAAAGAAUACCCCCGAAAAGCAGGUUUUAAAAUAAAUUUUUCUCACCCCCUUUAUUACAAGUCGGGCACUGCAUCAUGCUUGGGGACUUGCUAGGAUGCUUGGCUGCAAACCAUGCUGAGGUAGGAUGGAGGGUUUUAGAAUGUCAUUGGUAGGGCUUCCACUACAACAAGGCCCUGAUCCUCCAUCGAUCUUGAUGCUAUUAGAAAAAUAUAGUAUUAAUAGUGGUGUUAAGGUUGAGAGCUUGGGGAGCUGCUACUUUUCACAGCUUGCGACUGAAACCAUAUAACUGCAGUUUACAGCGCUUUCUCUCAUCUGCAAUUUCCUGUUGCUGAAACCUGAAGAAUUUCAGUCAGGCCGGGUUGCUGUGCACAAGUGGCUGCGGGGCAAAGGCCGGGGAGCCAGGAAGUACCCGCUGCUCUCUCACCUGAAUCAGGAUGUCGCUGCGGGACUUUGGGGGAAGUUAACUGGUUGUGCCCCAGAGUAUGGAGCAACCAACAGCCUGCUGCAGGGCAAGGUAGCAUCUGCCCACAGUUGGGUUGCUCUUGGACCGUGAGUUCCCAAACGCUUUCUCUUACCCAGCAGAGCCUGAUAGAGAAAGCUCAUCCUUUGGGUGAGAUAGAGGAAGCUAGUUUGUAUUUAUGAGGGGGUUAAAGAAUACGUGAGAGCAGUUUCUUGGCAGUAGCUGAGCUGCUGAACUUUCAUACUCCCAGUUUUCCCUGCAGUAACUUGUUUGUGUGCCCAUAUCCUCACUUCCCAGUUAGAAAACCCUCUUUAAGUAAAACAAACAAAUGUUGCAUCUCAAGAACCACAUUUAGACAAAAGCAGCAAGGUCUUCAGAUACAGCCCAAGCUUCUGUAUCAUAAUUGCAACUCAUCUGUCAUUUAUUGUUUGAUUUCAGGGAAAUGUGCCCAUUGUGCCCCAUGAAAGAACAGGAACAUGCAACUACAGUGCUAUGCAAUUUUCCAUUUAGAAUGUUGUGUGUCUGGAGUUUGUUUGUUUGUUUGUUUGCUUUUAUUUAACUGGAUGAAUGAGACUCAGAAACACUGGAGUUGCCCACAACUGAACCACUGAAGAGCUGUUCAGUUACAAAGUUUUUCAUUUUUAAAAUGGCAGUUAAAAAUAAAAAGCAUGACAAAGACACAGUUGUAGCUUAGCAAGAGCAUGACAUGUGAUGGGUUGAGCUGCCACAUGCCUCUUUACGCAGCAUUACUUUCAAGACCCACUUCUCCGUAAAAGAGAAUUAGGGGAUAAUGGGCACACGGUGAAAGGAGAUGGAAAGGAUCUGACUCAUCCACUUGGAUUCAUUUUGCCAUGUUUGUCACUGAAAUCUCCUUGAAAGCUUUCUUGCCUCCCUGGGGUUGCUGUGUGGCAGUCCAUUCCCCUGCUGUCCAGCACAGGACCAGUUGUCUCAGCUGCCACCACUUCCACAACACAGUGGGAGCAGGAGGCCGCAGCCUGGGAGCAGGAGGCAGAGACACCAAGCGCUUGCACAGUGGCAUGAUUCAGCCCAGCAGAACUAGCUCCUGGCCUAGAUCCAGUGCUGUUUACCUUGUACCCCAGCCAGGCGGUUUUGAAGUCAAGCUGAAGACCAGGGGCAGCCUGCAGGUAAGCCGCCUCGCAUUGCCCCAUGGGCAGCCUGAGCAGGCCCUGAAGCCAGAUCAGCCUCUGAAUCCCAUCUACCAUCACAGCCAGGCUUCAGGGCCUUCUAGAAAUGCCCCCGAGAGUUUGUCUUCCUGAUGCCCUUCUCUCUGGCCUGGCAUAGAGGCAGACAGGCCUGCGCAGCACAGCGCCUCAGGGCUGUGGCUGAGGCGAUGCUGAGUGUGCAGGUGACACAACCCUGUCCCCGCUCACACACUGAGUACUGGGCAUUGCCACACACACCAGGUCCCAGCAGGAGGGGUCCUGCUG
rnacentral:lncRNA from 1 species